UGGGGAAUAUUGCACAAUGGGCGGAAGCCUGAUGCAGCUACGCCGCGUGGGGGAUGAAGGCCUUCGGGUUGUAAACUCCUUUCGACAGGGACGAAGCUUUUGUGACGGUACCUGUAUAAGAAGCACCGGCUAACUACGUGCCAGCAGCCGCGGUAAUACGUAGGGUGCGAGCGUUGUCCGGAAUUACUGGGCGUAAAGAGCUCGUAGGUGGUUUGUCGCGUCGUCUGUGAAAUUCCGGGGCUUAACUCCGGGCGUGCAGGCGAUACGGGCUGACUUGAGUGCUGUAGGGGAGACUGGAAUUCCUGGUGUAGCGGUGAAAUGCGCAGAUAUCAGGAGGAACAACGAUGGCGAAGGCAGGUCUCUGGGCAGUAACUGACGCUGAGGAGCGAAAGCAUGGGUAGCGAACAGG
rnacentral:rRNA from 1 species